rnacentral:rRNA from 1 species
UACAGAGGUGGCAAGCGUUGUUCGGAAUUACUGGGCGUAAAGGGCGCGUAGGCGGCCUUGUCAGUCAGACGUGAAAUCCCCGGGCCCAACCCGGGAACUGCGUCCGAUACUGGGAGGCUUGAAUCCGGGAGAGGGAUGUGGAAUUCCAGGUGUAGCGGUGAAAUGCGUAGAUAUCUGGAGGAACACCGGUGGCGAAGGCGGCAUCCUGGACCGGUAUUGACGCUGAGGCGCGAAAGCCAGGGGAGCAAACGGG